UACGGAGGGGGCUAGCGUUGUUCGGAAUUACUGGGCGUAAAGCGCGCGUAGGCGGCCACUUAAGUCGGAUGUGAAAGCCCCUGGCUCAACUGGGGAAGUGCACCCGAAACUGAAUGGCUUGAGUGCGAAAGAGGGUCGCGGAAUUCCCGGUGUAGAGGUGAAAUUCGUAGAUAUCGGGAGGAACACCGGUGGCGAAGGCGGCGACCUGGGUCGACACUGACGCUGAGGCGCGAAAGCGUGGGGAGCAAACAGG
rnacentral:rRNA from 1 species